ensembl:lncRNA
AAAGGGCAGAUACAUCGCAGAAACUAUUGAAAGGCAAAGGGAAAUUGGAGCUUGGGCUGACAUUUUCAGAGCUAAAUGAAAAGUGUUAAGAGUGCAAGGAAGAGGCAGCUGUAUGGGACCAGGUGGCAGCAGCAGGCCUUGGAGCUGACCCAGGGUCCAUGAUGGAUGGGAAUAGCUCACAGCAGCCGAACCAUGAGCGGCGGAACGCUUUGCUGAACGGGAGUUUUCAUCAUACUGCCACGCUGCUUGACCUCCAAAUGCGCCGACACGCUGCAGUAUCACUUAGACUGGGAAAGAAUGUUGCUGCGCUAUUGCCCAGGAGAUUCAGGAGGAUCCCAUUACAGCUAGGCGGUGCCUGUGUGCAAUGGCAAAAACCAAGUAUGUAAGAAAACACAGUCUUAAUGUAAAGACCCACUGCAGUCCAUUAGACAAACCCAGUGUUUAAAGAUGAUAAUACAAAUGCCCGCUGUCAUCCAGGCACGCUCUUUGCUUCUUAAAUGCUGUCCGCAGCAUGGCCUGCUUCCUUCUCAUGCAGUUAUCACAGCUCUGAAUGAUGCACUAAAAUUAUUCUUUGCAACCCCUGUUUUCUUUCUUUUUUUCCUUUAAAAUUAUAUACUACUAACCGAUCAGAGGAAUGCUGCUGGUUUUAAACUUGAAGACAUAAAAAAAAUCCUAAAGAUAUAUAUAUAUAAAAAAUCCAGGCUUGCAGGGCAGAUACCUUUUCACUUAAUCAGCUGCUACACCUGGAAGUAAAAAGGAUUCUCCACCCAAUGAUUUGGCCUCUUCCUCAACUGUCUGGGCUGGGGAGAUGAACCUUGCUCCUCCCUGUGCCUCCCUGCAAGGCGCCUGGGCUGUGCUACCCGGCAUAAGAGCUGUCGCUUGGUUUUAUAGACUGCAAAGUGUCCCAAGGGUGGACCGGCCCAAUCGUUUCCUGGCUAGUAGGAAACAAAGGAAGGAAGGCCCUUUUUCUGGAGUCAGUUCAUCAGCAUCGAUCAGUGGGAUGCUGUGCUAUGAUGCACCACCAGGGAAGGAGGGCUCCGAGGGGCUGCAGGCAGGAACAAAGAGUACAGCUGCGUUCACAUUCUGUCCCUUCACAUUCUGUCCCAGGUGAGGCAGAAAACGGUACGUCUACCCCUCAGUUUCUCUCCAGGUCACCUUCUAAAUAAAGCUGUAGCAGUUUGCUAUCCUGUUAUUUUUGCUAUGGCAGAAAGCAAGAACAAAAGGGUAAGCACUUUGCUUGUGCCUGUGCAGCAAGUCAGUCACUGGCAAAGAAUCCACCACCAUUUCAUAUGCAGCUUUAUAAACAGACCUUUUUGAACACAACAAGAAUAGAUGGCCUCCUCUUUGCCCUCAGUGAGAGCAGAAGUGCGCCGUAUCAGUUCUUUAUUCCUGUACAGAGCAGUAGUGCUUGCUCUGUGCAUCCUGUAAAGUGAUUGGCCUGAAAUACAGCAUUUAAGGGAUAAAAAAACAGUUACCUUAAUGCUCUGCUAUCUAAUGCUCUGUCC